ensembl:lncRNA
UAAGGAGAAUUCUGCGUGGCUAAACAAAGCUUACAUGGUUACAGAACUAAAUGCAAUGUAUACUACAGCAUAUAAGAAAAGGAUUUUUUUUUUUGGAAGUACUUCCUCUGUGUAUGGGAACUCUUAUGUCAGGCCUGAACAGGUGACUGAGCACCUGGUAAAGGGAGUGGCUGGCCCAGGGAGCACAGGUGCAAACAAUUCACCUAUGCUUCCCACGUGACUGGAAUUGGGAGGACCAGGGUCCACCCCUCCCAGGGCUCAUUUAAGGGCUAGUCUCCCAUGAGAGAGGGUCUUCUGGCUGUGUGCUGUGUUUUGAAGGGGAAUGUUCAGUAGCUGGAGACCCUAUUAUCAGUUAGCACCAGGAGAUGCGGCGUCUGAAGCAGAGGAGUAAGGAGAAGCCCCAUGUCCAGGUACCAAGCCUGCUUUUUUAGCGCCCCACUUCCUAGCAGCGCCGAGAGUUCGUCCCCGCCGCGGUGCCUCUGGGAGUGGGAACGGGUGAGUUACGGGCAGAAGGACCCGGAGCAGGCAGGGUGCACUGCUGCUUGCGAACUUCUGAAGCAAACUCUCGGCUCUGUCUGGGAGUAAGCUCCUCUUGCAGCAGGCAUAGCUGUGUACCGUGAAGCGCCUUGACCACUCGCUCUUCAGCAUAAAGAAAUAAGGGCAGGUAGGGGGGGCUGAGCACAUCGUGCUGGGUGGCAAGUGCAGAUCUGGCUGCUUUUGGGGUCUGUUUAUAGGUAGGUAAAGAGUGAGAUGUAUUCAUCAAAAAAUAUAUUGAUCUGUGCUUUGGUUACAAACUCUCAUCUUUAGCAAAGACUCUCCUCUGUAUCUGUGUCAAGGUGCUUUCUGACUUUGGGGCUAUUUUCCACUAUAAGGCAGCAAGCAGAGAGGAGAAUCAAGGAGCAGAUUGUGCUGCCUUGCUUUAGCAAAGAGAAGUGUGCAAGGCCAUCCUCCAUGCUUGCAUACAGAGAUGUAUGUUCUUUGGAAGGGCUCAUCUGUAUACCCCAGCAUUCUUGAAAAUGUUGUAAAUGAGCAGCGUUAUUUUCACAAACAAGCUCAGAGCAGUGAGUGCAUUGCUGUCCAGAUAAGGUCCAAAAAGCUCCUCCUGUACUCCUAGGCUAGCAGUGUGCAUAACGCAGGGUGAAUCUUACCACCCCGCACUGCCUUUCCCCUCCUAACAAAGCAGGUGGACCACAGGCAGAACCCGGAGUAGGGAGAGUUUGUUUGAUUUCCAGUUUUGUGUUUGUUCUAGGCACCUUGGGAAGCAACCCAUUCCACCAGAAUCGGACCCAACUGCCAAAUGCCAUCAAUGGGCUCUGCAGCCCGGAGCCCUGAGCUGUGGCUGCAAGGGGAUGGGGUAGUGAUGAUGUCCUGGGGCUGCGAGCGGCCAGUGCCUGCAGGCUAAGUUGGUGGAGCUUUUAUUCAAAAUAAAAAUCAGGUGAAAUUUCCUUCUAUUGUCUAGCCAAAUUCUCUUUAAUUUGCCCCAAGGGAAAGUCACUUGCCUUGCAGUGCCUUUUUUACUUUUUUUUUUUUGAGCUCGUCUCCGUCAACAUAAAUGCCUGGGGGUGCUCCCUGGGGGAUGAGUGGGGAAGCCGAAGGUCAGGGUUACCCACUGUGGCAUGACUUUUAAGCUAAAGGGGUUUUUAUUUCUCUUGUUUCCAUGUCAGGUUUCAUUUGGGCAGCAUUAUUCUGAAAGGGUGGGCCUGCUCUUGACAGGAGGGGGUUAAAUGGGAUUACAAGCUUUAGAGGCUGUCAGCAGCCACUGCUGCCUGGGGAUGUUAAAUUGCAAUUUAAUGGUCAGCUUUAUAUGUAUAGUAUCAGUGGAAAUCUGCUGUUUUCAGCAACUUAAUAGGAGCUGUGUUUUCAGGAAGGGACUGUUUUGGAGGGGGGGCGAGGAGUGGGUUUGCUGGCACUGGCAGCUCCUCCCGCCAGGCAGUGGCCGGGCACCAAGGGGCUCUUCCAGUGUGUCCCAACUUCCCCAAACCAGCUCCGUGCCUCAGGCAGGAAGAGAGCAAGCAGUCCUCACUGGAGCAUCGGAGAGUAGGGAGAGAGGGCAGGAAGGUGCUGAGGCGAAGAGGGCAUGAAGGCACUGAGGGGAUGAGGGCAAGAAGGCAAUGAUGGGGUUGCUCAUUGUGUAGGAUUGGCUCCAAAGGCCAGCCACCAGUCAAACUGCCAGUUGGGGGGGAUCUGUAGAUGCAUGUCUUAUGAGUAUCAGUGUGUGUAGAGGUGCUGUGAGGGGCAGAGGGGUAAAGCGUGCUGAGGGGCAGACAGCAAGGCCCCACCAGAGGGCAUCGGUAUUGUCUGUUGGCGAGUGAGGGGUCAGCCCGGAAUGUUCAGGAUUAGUAAAUUUAAUAUCCUGUCAAAAUUCUCAUGAUAAUGAGUGCUGGCUCGGCUGGCUGGUGGGGCUGGCACAGCAGCCUGGGCGCUGCAGCUCCCGAGAUAGCGCCGCUAAUUUAUGGGCAGGAGAUUGUGCUGUGCUGGCAUGGGCCGAGGCGAGAGCGGCUCGGCGGUGGGGCCUCUUGGCUGCGUGCAGCAGCUGCUAAGCUGGGGAAAAUACACAGAUCUGGAUCAUUUUAAGUGAUUCUUAUUCAUUCCAAAAUCCUCCUAACCCCCUGCAAUAGCUUGGCUGAAGUGACAGAGGUGGGCUGCGCUCGGCUUUUCCUCUCC